rnacentral:misc_RNA from 1 species
AAAGCCAAUCCUUGCUGUAAACAGAAUUUACUUCAUUCCCAGGCAGCGUAUUAAGGGAUCUUUAAUUAAAGCACAGUAGAUAAAACCCAUUUGGUCCAAGGAUUUAUGUUCAUUUUUGUUCAAUGGUAAUCAAAUCAUCAAAUUUGUCAACAAUAACCAUGUUAUCAUAUAUACAACUGGGCACAUAAAGGCAGAAUACACAUAACACGUAUUGUUCAUUUGUCCAUCACUUGAUAAACAGUAAUUUUCAUGACAAAUUGAAAUGUUGAGCUACACAUCAAAGAUAACCACCCCUUGGUCAAACACAAAUAAAAAUAGUUCAAAUGACAGACUAAACAAAUUCUACCAAAAACAGCCCCCCUUUACACUUAGUUAAAAAAUUUCCACCGAGAAGAGUUCAACAAACAGGUCCAAGUCCAUGAUUGGACAACUCCACUUGUUGGAAUUAAAAAAAUGGAUAUAUAUGAGUCAGUAGUUGGAAAUCUUCCUUCUCGCAAUCUUCAUAUUCGCAUAGAAAUUCAGGAACUAUGGUUUGGUUCUAGACCUUAGUUGAACUGAGGAUAAAUGGUAUCCAUACUAGCAUCAUAGAAACAUUACUGGAUUCCUAUAAUUAGAUUCAGUAUCAUAUGAGCAGGCUUGUCAAAAGCCUUGUACAGUUUCUUUCUUUUUUCUUGCCAUGUCUCCCUUUUAAGCCUCUAAACUAGAUUUAUAACACACUAAAAAUUAUUUGUCUUGAGUCAGUCAAU